rnacentral:rRNA from 1 species
UCUAAGUUUGAUGGCGACCGGCGCACGGGUGAGUAACACGUAUCCAACCUGCCGAUGACUCGGGGAUAGCCUUUCGAAAGAAGGAUUAAUACCCGAUAGCAUAAUGAUUCCGCAUGGUUUCAUUAUUAAAGGAUUCCGGUAAAGGAUGGGGAUGCGUUCCAUUAGGUUGUUGGUGGGGUAACGGCCCACCAAGCCUUCGAUGGAUAGGGGUUCUGAGAGGAAGGUCCCCCACAUUGGAACUGAGACACGGUCCAAACUCCUACGGGAGGCAGCAUG